GGGCACUUCCCAGGAUAAUUACAUCGGGCCCUUUAUAGAUAAUGCAGGAUGACUUCUCCAUCUCAAGGUCCUUAUCCUAAGGUCCAUCUUCAAAGCACUUCUUGCCAUGUAAAGUAACUCAUUCACAGAUUUGGGGGGUUAGGAUGUGGAUAAUUUGGGAGAUUAUUAUUCAGCCUGCCAUACUAACUGUGACACCCAUCCCCCAAAGUUACAUAAUCUCUCUGACAUUUUGGUCCCUCAUCUGUAGAAUGGAAGUGUAUUUCCCUUCCACAGGGAUGUAGCAAGUAGCAAAUGAGAGAAUGUGUCAAAAGCACCACACACACACACACACACAAAAAGUAGGUGUUUAACAAAUAUUUACCAUGAGAUAUGACGGUGGGUUGGAAUGGACCAAGGCAUCUAGGAGAUGUCCCUGAAAACCCUCCAUCACUUCUUCAUGCCUGCUGCAGUACAUUCUUCUAUGUGGCCCUGCUUCUCCUUCCUGGUCCUCAUCAUUUUUGGCCGGCUCUGGGGCCAGAAAUUGCCCAGGGAUGGAGAAACAAAGUUUCCCCAGCCUCCCCUGGAAAAUCAGAACACAAAACACCUGAGAAGCCGCCUAGGUGCUCCAAAGCACACAGCUGCCCAGGUGCCUGAAGCUUACUCUGCUGCCUCCUGUCAUCUGUGUUUCCCAGUCAAUACAUUUGUCUGGGGGAAACCGUACUUCUGAGGGUUUCCAAAUAGUGCCUGGGCCAUCUGCUCCCUUUGAAUAUCUCCUUUCCCUCAGCAUAAGGAAUUCUAACUGAUGAACCUUUGCCCUUAUCCUUUUCACUUUUUCUGUGAACAAGUAGGGUUGGAGACAGACUGUAGCUUUUCUGUUCCUCAUGUGUAGUCUGAACCCCUCAAUGUGUUGCACAGAAAAACAAAAAGGGCUCAGAGCCCCAAGAGGCAAAGUCACGGUGAUGCUGGAGGGAAGACAUCCUUCUUGGGGAAGGCUUCCUGCUGGUGCUCAAAAAAUGGAGAAAUGGGGCAAUAUGGGAGAAAAUGGGCAAGAGGGAGACCAAGCAGAGGACAAGAUUACAGCCCAGGAAAUGGAACCUCUUGGACAUUCUGACACUCUGAUAACUAGACCAUGGGAGGUAUUCAAUUUGACAAGAACAACACUUCUCAGUUCUGGGGCCACAAUAUGGGACCCCUCAGUGCCAAUUCAACAAGAGUCACACCUGUUUUAUCUGUGUAAUGAAUGAAUUAAUGCAUAUGCCAUGCUCCUGCAUAGGAUUUCAGCAUAAGGAAAGGGUUUUAUAUAUGAAAAAGAAAAAUUAAAAGGUUGAGACUGUGCUAGGCUCUGGGGACAUGAUAAUGAACAAGACAGACACAGACUUCUCAUUUAUUUACAUAAUCUGUGGCUUAGGGUAGUGCUUCCCUAUAGCUCAGGUGGUAAAGCAUCUGCAGGAGACCAGGGUUCGAUCCCUGGGUAAGGGAAUGGCAAUCCACUCCAGUAUUCUUGCCUGGAGAAUUCCAUGGACAGAGAAGCCUGGCGGGCUACAAGUUCAUGGGAUCACAAAGAGUCAGACGUGACUGAGUGUCUAACACACACAUGGAUUAAGGUAGGCAGAAGACAAGUAAACAAACAGAUAAAAUAAUUGAAAACUGGGGAAAGCACUACUGAAGUAAGAUAUGGGGGCUGAGGUAGAGAAUAGUGGAAGGGAGAACACUUUAGGUAGGGUGAUCUGGCAAGACCUCUUCUCGGAGGUCAAGUUCAAGUUGCAACCUGAAGGAGGAGGUGCAGCCAAUAGGAGAGGGUGGAGAAGGGGCAUUGAGCCACACUGAAAGGGCCAUCAGGUAGAAAGGUGUACCAUCUGCUCAAGAGCAGAAGACCUGCAUAGCUGGACAGUAGGGUUGAGAAAGAGAGAGGCAGGAAGUAAGUGAAGGGUCAGCAGGACCUGGCCACACAGGGCCCACAGGCCAUAGGUGGUGACUGAAGGAGGGCAGUCGUGGUGAAGCUGCCUAUCCUGUGUUGCCAUUCAAUAUACACUCAAAGCAGAAACCCUGGUGCCCAUUCACUCACUCUCCGAAACUCAUAAAUGCCUCCUCUUCCCCAACUCAUAAAUGCCAAUUCCACUCUUUAAGAUGCUCAGGCCAAAACCUGUGGAGUCUCUAUUACUCUACAGCUAACCCAUCAGGGAAUUCCAGUGCCUCUACCUUCAAAUAGUACCCAGAAUCUGACCACCUCUCAUCAGUGCAAGGCUACUGACCUGGUCCAAGAUGUGAGCCUUUCUUACCUGGACUGGUGUGGUUGCUCCUUAACUGGGCUCUCUGCUUUUACCCUUCACCGGACAUCCUUCUUUCUACACAGCAGACAAAGAGAUCCUUCCAAACAAUCAGACCAUUUUCUGCCCCAGACCUACACUGGCUUCACACAUCACUCAGGAUAACCAAGGUCCAAUCCAUUAUGAUCUGGCCCCUCACCAUCUCCUCAAUCCCAUCUCUUCUCCUCUUCUCACUCUUCUCCUCUUUUCGAUUCUCCUCACUCACUCAGCGUCAGCCCCACAGCCUUCUUGGUUUUUUGGCCGUGAUCUUUAUGCUUGCUAUUUCCUCUCUAAAUCCCUUCCUCAGUUAUCUGUCUCUCGUGGCUUGGUCCCUCCUUCACUCAGAUCUGUCCUCGAUGGUCACGCUAUCAGAGUGCAAAGCUAGGUACCCUCCUUUCCAUCAUUUCUACCUUCACACCUGUUCAUUUUUCUUCAUGAAAUAAAUCAUCACCUGACAUAUACUUAUGUUUCUAG
rnacentral:lncRNA from 1 species